rfam:Ovis aries breed Texel chromosome 2, whole genome shotgun sequence.
AGUAAGGUCAGCUAAUUAAGCUAUCGGGCCCAUACCCUGAAAAUGUUGGUUCAUAUCCUUCCCGUACUA